rnacentral:rRNA from 1 species
GAUGAACGCUGGCGGCGUGCCUAAUACAUGCAAGUCGAGCGAACAGACGAGGAGCUUGCUCCUCUGACGUUAGCGGCGGACGGGUGAGUAACACGUGGAUAACCUACCUAUAAGACUGGGAUAACUUCGGGACACCGUAGCUAAUACCGGAUAAUAUAUUUAACCGCAUGGUUCAAUAGUGAAAGACGGUUUUGCUGUCACUUAUAGAUGGAUCCUCUCCGCAUUAGCUAGUUGGUAAGGUAACGGCUUACCAAGGCAACGAUGCGUAGCCGACAUGAGAGGGUGAUCGGCAACACUGGAAGCGAGACACGGUCAAGACUCCUAAGGGAGGCAGCAGUAGGGAAUCUUCCGCAAUGGGCGAAAGCCUGACGGAGAAACGCCGCGUGAGUGAUGAAGGUCUUCGGAUCGUAAAAAUCUGUUAUUAGGGAAGAAAAAAUGUGUAAGUAAAUAUGCACGUCUUGACGGUACCUAAUCAGAAAGCCACGGCUAACUACGUG